rnacentral:misc_RNA from 1 species
AAAAUAUGGCUGGUUAGAAAGUUCACCCUCGUUAGAAAUAUCGAUGUCAAAAGUUUUUAUUAGUCUAGAUCUACACUAUCUUUUUCAAUAAUAUUGAUUUGUUACUAUUGAUUUAAUAAUUUAUACAUGUUUUGUUAUUUUGAUGCUUUGGUGUAUUCACUUUCCUAUUCAAUAUUGUUAUUUAUAAGUUGGCGUUUGCUUCCUUACUCAGGCUACUAACCGGAAGUAAUUAAAGCUCAAAAGUUUUAAAACUUUUUUCUUUUUGAAGCUUCGUAAAAGUAAUUUGCUUCAAUACUGAGACAAUAUUGACCGUAUAAAUGGUAUAGAUGUCGGUCAUGUAAAAGCUGUAACUUGUGAACUUCUGGAUCCAAUACUUAACUGACGUGAUCCUCCACAUCAUACUAUAGAGAGAAAAAUCAUCCUGACUCGAGGAGCUAAGUAACUGAAAAGAAACAUACAUUGAAGUGAAUGAUUAUAAAUGCUAUAGAAACAGUCAGGUGCACAAGAUCAAGAUUGUGUUUAAAAGAUGCUUGAACAAAGCAGGUGACAAAAGCUAUACUUUCCUAUAUGCAACGGCUCAAGCUCAACUUUUCCAAAAGCUCAAUAUAAGUGACCGUGUUCUACAACAACGGUUCUAACUAACACUGCUGCAUCAUGCUGCGUAGACGUCGUAGUCUCAUAUUUAAAUUAGUCCUAGCCAUUCCAAUACUAUGGUUUAUAGCCAUAGGAAUAACAACAUUUACCGGAGGUGGUAAAAGUGACAUUGAGGAUCCUGACUCACCACAUCCAAAAUUUAAUAGGGCGGCAGUGAAUAUUCAUGAACCACCACAAGAUCAUCAUGUACAACCAGUUGUAGAUAAUCCUAAUGACAGAAUUGAAAUAGUCCCAGUCCCAGAUGAUGAUAUACAUGGCAAAGGGGAUAACUUAGGGAGGAGAAUACAUGAUGAUCCAGAUAAUAAGCCAGAUGACAAUUUAAGGUUUAAACCAAAUGAUAAAAGUAAUAAUAUGCAGUUGGGAGGCGCCCAUGGUGUUCACAAAAUUAAGACCACCACAGAAGAUCCAAAUAAACCUGGUGCCAUGGGGAAAGCUGUCUUUAUCAAGAAAGAGAACCUGUCACCUUCUGAAAGGAAGAUAUACGAUGCUGGCUUCCAAAACAAUGCGUUCAAUCAGUAUGCCAGUGACAUGAUCUCCUUACAUCGCUCAUUGCCUGACAUGAGGGAUGAAGAAUGCAAGCCACUGUCGUACCACUCCAACCUUCCUGAUACCAGUGUCAUAAUAUGUUUCCACAAUGAGGCUUGGUCCGUCUUGUUGCGUACAGUCCACAGUGUCAUCGACAGAUCACCUCCAGAACUAAUUAAAGAAAUCAUACUGGUGGAUGAUUAUUCAGAUUUACCUCAUCUUAAAGAGAAACUCAACAAUUACCUACUUGACCAAUUCAAGGGAAAGGCAAGGGUUGUACGCACAAAGAAGCGAGAGGGUCUCAUCCGUGCCAGACUUCUGGGAGCCUCACAUGCCAUCGGCUCUGUUCUCACUUAUCUCGACUCUCACUGUGAAUGCACUAAAGGGUGGUUGGAACCCCUGUUAGACCGCAUAGCCGAGGAUAAGAGAAACGUAGUUUGUCCCGUCAUUGAUGUCAUAUCAGAUGAUAACUUGCAGUAUCAGCAUGGUAGCGCUAAGUCUACCAGCAUUGGUGGGUUCGACUGGGGCCUGCAGUUUAACUGGCAUGGUAUCCCAGCUAAAGAGAGAGCAAGGCGUAAAUCUGAGGUGGCCCCUAUCAGGUCACCUACCAUGGCUGGAGGGUUGUUCUCCAUCAGCAGGGAAUACUUUGAGGAGCUAGGUACAUAUGAUCCUGGAAUGGACAUAUGGGGAGGGGAAAAUCUUGAACUUUCUUUUAGGAUUUGGAUGUGUGGUGGUACAUUAGAGAUUGCACCCUGCUCCCAUGUAGGACAUAUCUUCCGUAAACGCAGCCCUUACUCUUGGAAAACGGGAGUAAAUGUUGUCAAAAAGAAUUCUGUCCGACUUGCUGAAGUGUGGAUGGAUGAAUAUAAAAAUUAUUAUUAUGAAAGAUUUAAUUAUGAUCUGGGAGAUUUUGGAGAUGUCUCAGCCAGAAAAGCUUUAAGAAAAAGAUUAAAUUGUAAAAGUUUUGACUGGUAUGUCAAAAAUGUAUAUCCAGAAUUAUUCAUUCCUGGUGAAGCUGUGGCUUCUGGAGAGGUGCGUAAUAAACACUCUCCAUGGUGCCUGGACAGUGCAGUUGAUUCCAACUCUAUGAACAAGCCAAUCAAAAUGUGGCAGUGCCACAACAUGGGAGGCAAUCAGUAUUGGAUGUUAAGUAAAGAGAAUGAGAUACGUCGUGACGAGGGCUGUAUAGACUAUGCGGGACAGGAAGUAAUGAUAUAUCCAUGUCACGGUCAACGAGGAAACCAGGAGUGGAUAUACGGAGUAGAUAACACCAUUAAGCAUGUGAAUACCAACAAAUGUAUGGAGAUCUCCAUAGACGGACAAAAGCUCUCAAUGCAGCCAUGCACAGGAGUUGACAGGCAAAUAUGGCUAUGGAAACGAAAAGCACAAAAAAAUUAGAAAUCUAUUUUUAGUGUGUGUGAAUUACUGUAAAAGUAUGGGUUAUUUAAAUAGAAACUUAAGAUCCAGUGAGAGAGUUGACUUUGAAUCCUGUAAGGAAUUUUGUACAAGCAGAAUCAUUGUUUUAGUAUUGUACAUAAUGAGAUAAUGUCAAAAUCACAAGAAACAUUGUAUACAAGUAUGUGUAAUCAGUCAGAAAUAUUCAGUUUUUGAAGCAAUGUAUGGUUUUGCAAUUUAGGCAACACGGUUACUAGGUGACACAAAAAUACAACACUCUAAUGCCUUGUCAAACCAUUAUAUAUUUAAAUCUCAAAGCUUAGUAGAUGCAUACUAUAGCUCUAGUAUAUAUGAAUGCACUAUUUUGUACAUUGAACACUCUAUAAAGAUAGAAAGAAUUAUGAGAAUUCCAUUGUCAUUAAGGUUUUUCAAAAUUAAAUGGUUGCAGUUUUGUGUCACCCUGUAUGUUAAACGUAAAUAAAUUGAAGCAUAACAUGGCUUGAGUCACUUUGAAUGUUUCAAAUAAUACUGUCAAAAUGUUACCUUGCGACACAGUGCAAAACAUGUAUCCAAUAUUUUGGUGCUAGUGUGUUCUAUGCUAAUUUAUUUAAAAACAUUGUCAUGUAUCGUUUUUAUGAAUCAAAAGCAGGCUUCUCAAAGAUUUCCAAUUGUUGUAAAAUAAAGUUUUUAGUAAGUUGAGCCAUAUGGGAAAGUAGAAGUCAGUAUUGAUAUGAAAACAUCUCUAUCAAUAGAUGGUGCUACAUACACUGUGUUGUCUCUUAUAUCUUAUUGCGGCAGAUCACCAUUUUUAGGCUAUAUCAGUAUAUGUUUACAGUUUAUAAAGAUGUUUUAAAGAUAUUUUAUGAAUGAUGUCUUGUUAACUGUGACAGUGUCAGAUUGUGUGUCAUCUUUUUCAUUUGGAUGAU